rnacentral:rRNA from 1 species
AUGGAAGCAGGCGAAGUAGCGCACCCUGCCACCGAACAUGACAGCUCUGAGUAUUGGUUAAGAAGAUUUCCAACGCCAAAUCUGAACGAAGCUACAAAGGUGAACCAGCUAGCGAUGGUUGCAGGGAACAAGACAAUGGAUCCUCGUGAUGAGAGCAGAUGCGUACUGCUUGGUUUGGAUGGCAGAGGCAAACCAAAUAAGUGGGGUAAGGUUCUCUCAAAAAAAAAGUGGGGUAAGGAACACACACCACAUGGCCCAGAUGAACUGAAAACACUGCAAGAUGCGAUGGAAGAGAAACUCCAGGGCAAGUGA